rnacentral:lncRNA from 1 species
CUCCAAGGGCAGCGCCUUGCAGCCAGGUGGGGCCUGAGCUGUGGGGGAAAGUGCUCCAGCCAACAGGCUCCAGUCACACCUGGCUUUGCUCACAGGAAUUCAUGCUGAGGUACCAGGGCACAGCAAACUGUUGGAUUGGGCUGCACAGGGAAGAAGGGGACGAGCGCUGGACAUGGCCCAAUGGCAGCGCCUUCACCAACUGGUUCGAGUUGCGAGGUGGAGGCCGAUGUGCGUACCUGAACGGGGACAGGAUCACCUCAGCCAGCUGCCAGGCGGAGAAGUACUGGGUCUGCAACAGAGCCGACAGCUACGUCCUCUGGAGGGAGGGGACAUAGCCACAGUGACAAAGCCCAUCCACAUUGAGCUCGUUCCAAUGCUGCUGGGCACUGCCAUGCCUUCACUGUGUACUGGAAUCUGCCUCUUUCCAGCACUGCUGCACUUGUUCCUGCAUGGAACCACCCAGCUCUGCUCCUCACUGUCUCUCAGGAAGCAUGUAUAAUUGCACUGUACCUUAAAGGGAGGUUCCUCUAAGGGUCCUUCAAGGUCACAGUACCAUGGAACAAUCCCGUGGUGCUGACCCCCUGUGCCUGGACCCGAGGCUGGGGCUGUUUCUCCUCUCCUUGUGGGCUCUGUGUCACAUCGCGGUGCCAUCGCUCCCAGCCGCCCUCUGACUUUGUCACAGUGUCUGCUCAGCUGCUGCAUUUUAUAAUUUCAUUUUGUAAUUGCAUGAAGCAUUUAUUAAAGUCACUGUUUAUAGGAUCCUCUGCAGUCACUGCCGUUCUGUCCCUGUGACGGCGGCAUCGCGUCCUCCUGUUGUGUCCCUGCACCGCUCUGUGGGGCCAGCAGCAAAGUGAGGGCGCGCUCGGUGCCGCCGCGUGUGUCUCAGAGAGGGGGGGGGGAGAGCAGCGCUGCCAGAAGGAAUCACAGAGUCACCGAGGCUGGAAGAGUCCUCCACGAGCAUCCAGUGCAAGCGUGCGCCUGUCACCAGCAGUCCUCACUAAACCAGUCCUCCAACACAUCAAUGCUCCUUGGGCACCUCCAGGGUCGGUGACUCCUCCACCUCCCUGCGCAGCCCAUUCCAGCGCCUGGCCCCUCUCUCAGAGCAGCACUAUUUCCUCAUGUCCAGCCUCCAUCUCCCCUGGGCAACCCUGUCCAAGCACAGAGCACCAGGAGGGAACGGGAAAACCCUUCAGGAAAGCGUCAGCGAACCAUAGGGGAGCGCAGGCGAAAGCAUUGGCCCGGUGCGUGGGAGAGGGUGCUGCACGGAGGACACGGCGCAGGACCCGGGUGAAGCCGGGCCUCCCAGCCCCGCGGGCAGAGAGCUUCGGGAAGGAGCACGGAACGCACAGCGAGGGGCUGCUGGGAAGACGCGGCAGAGCUGUGCCGCAACGCCGGCACCAGCCGG